rnacentral:rRNA from 1 species
UACGUAGGGUGCAAGCGUUGUCCGGAAUCAUUGGGCGUAAAGCGCGUGUAGGCGGCCCGGUAAGUCCGCUGUGAAAGUCCAGGGCUCAACCCUGGGAUGCCGGUGGAUACUGUCGGGCUCGAGUCCGGAAGAGGCGAGUGGAAUUCCUGGUGUAGCGGUGAAAUGGCGCAGAUAUCAGGAGGAACACCAAUGGCGAAGGCAGCUCGCUGGGACGUGACUGACGCUGAGACGCGAAAGCGUGGGGAGCAAACAGG